rnacentral:siRNA from 1 species
UAAGAUGUUCUGGCCACAAUCCGU